AGUAAAGUGAUUUCGUGGUACUCCGUGUUAUCGCAACCAUCUUGCUAGAGAUCGCUACAGUUUCUGGAAACCAUAAUAAUCUGUGUACAUAACAGCCAUGCUUGAAACAAGCAACAUCGCUAUUUUCACAUGUGUUCUUUAUUUUUUAUUCCAAGUUCCAACAGUUUUCAUAGACAAAUCAAUAUUUUUUGUCUUAAACUUGAUUUCAAAAUAUGCACUUGCCUAAUUUGCCAGCGGAAAUUAGACAAGCGCAGGAAGAAACUGCGGUAAAAAUUUCUGCAGGAACACAUAAUUUUACUGCUAAAUAUCUAAAGGGAACUCUGAGAAGAUGCGUUUGAUAGAAAUAGACAGUCAGUCUUGCCGAGGUUUGCGCUAUGGCAAUUCUCUGAUGUUUUUUAAGCAAAAACAGAAAGUUUUGGACUUUUGUCUUUGUUUCGUGCCUAUACAUCUCCAUUAAAAUUUCCUCCAUAGACUCAUACAGUUUCUAGCACUGUCUUUAUUCUCUUCAGUGACAGUUUAACCAUUUAGUCUUUUCUCACUGGUGUGCUGGAUAAAGAAGGGUUUUUAUUUUACUUGUCCCUUGUUAUAGUACAUUAUACUUACUGUAUAUUCAGGAUUAAAUUCAGCUGGAGUCUCAAAGGAGAAGAGAUCCGUGGCGGUAAAUACUCAGAAAGGUCAACUUCUGCCACAAUUGGAAAUCUUUUGGGUUAUUCGGUAUUCCUUUUCGCCUUGUUGGUUGUAUACUUAGUGGCAACACCCCAAUUUCGGAGGCGUCUUCUACCAGAAGAAGUUCAACUUCAACUUGAACAACAAUCCCCUGGCAAUUGAUAAACAAUUCUUCUUUAUUUGUUCUUGGCCAAAUAUUUAUUGAACCUCAGUUUUUGGAAAUGAUGUGCCUUGCUGAGGAGAUCUAGAUUCACUUUUUGUUUGUAAUAUCUAUAUAAUGAGGAAAUACAUAAUUAGUGUUAGAAAUCAGAAUGUGAAUUCUCACUGAGAAUGUUGCUAAUAUUUUUAGUUGUGAAACUUGAAUGUUUAAAUUUUGUAUAUAAUUUUUAAAAUUGCUGUAUGGCUUGAUAUUUAAAAGCAUUUAGAGAAGAUAUUAUUUGUGAAAUGUUCAAGCUACAGUUUGUAUUUUAAUCAAACUUUAUUUUAAUAAUUCUUUAACACCAUUGCAGUAUUUUUAUUGGAUGCAUAUACAGAUUGUUCUCUAUAUUUUUACUAUUUUGGAUAUUUUUUUUUAUCUUUUAUUACUCAUUAGUGAUGCAAUCCUUACCAUGACUUUGCGACUUUGUGAAAGCAAUAAGUUUUUCAUAUUAGUUUUUUCUUAUCUAUUUUAUAAACUAAGUUUUUAUUUUUUGAGGAAGCAGUUGUAUUACUUGGAAAACUGUUCAUAGAACGGGCAUAAGUUGUGAUAAAUUUAGGUAGAAAAGCAAUCUUAUUUUGGCAUAAGUUUUAAAUCUAAUGUUAUUAUUUUGUCUAGUUUCUUAUUUUACAUUGGCAUAUUUCUCUUCCAUUCAGUCAUGAUAUUUAUAAUUAGAAGUGGAUAAAGAGUGUCUGAGACAACAAUGAGACAAUCAUAUUAACUAAAUGUUAGUCAAUGAAAAUAAGAUGCAAAAUUUUUAAGUUGUCAUUGUAACAGUGAUUCAUUUCUAUCAAAAGGAUAACAAUGUCAUUUAAAUGCUAGAACCAUUAAUAAAGUGGCAGCUUACUUAAAGUAAACUUUUAAGGAAAAAAUAGUUUGCUUUUAAAUUUGCAAUGACCAAAGGAGAAUUCCUGUGUUCAAGCAUUACAAAAACAAUCAAAUUGGGUGGGGGUGGAGAAGCUGUAUUGAAUUUGAAAAUAGCGUAAAGAGCAUGGGCAUUAUUGGUGAUGUUAAAUAAAAUCUUGGAAAAAGAAGAAAAAUCCAAAAAAUUUUUCAUCCAAAAAAGAAGCAAAUAAGGUUAUGAAAAUCUUCAAGUUUGUUGACAAAUAAAGUAUUUUUAUCUGUCAAAUUGCUUGAAAUUUGAUGAUAUCAAAAUCAAUUAUUCAUUGAGUUAGAGAAGAUUUAGGCUUAAAAUCUUAAAAUGCCAGUUAAAAAGUACAAAAAGCUGAUUUCGAAUAAAAGAAGCCUUGAUUCUGCAACUUAAAAAAACUGAUCAUAAAUGUUAAAUUGUAUUUUAUGUUUAAUCCUAAUUUGAGUGGUGGCAUUAAAUAUUAACCAUUCAGCAUUUCCCUAACUCUGUUUCUGUGCUCUUCAGAAUGAAAUCUAAAGGAAAAUAAUUUUAUGACAUGCCAUAUACAAAAAGAGCAAUGCUUCUUGAUGAGUCUAUCAAACAGCUCCUUUUAUCUAAACAGUGCAUUAAAAGAUUUUUGAUUCUUUUCACCAAUCAUCAUUAUCAAAAUUAAAGUAUUUUAUUGUGGCAGGCUUAAUUACCACAGACGAAGGGAGAGGGGCAAGGGGGGACAUCAUCCAGAGGGAGGGUACCAAAUUGAUGUUGUGAGUUUUUAAAUAAAAUGAUUUCCCUUCUUGGUAAACAGGAGGGGGCACAAAAUUUUCAAUUGUCCCCAGGCACAGUAAACCCUAACUACAGCUCUGUUAGUUACCAGCCACUAUUUGAAAAUCCAGAAAAUUGAUUUUGUGUCUAUUUAAUAAUGUCCCUAAUAAACCCUAAGCUAGAAGUAUUGAAAGAUUUGGAAGCAUUGAUAAAAGCAAGUACUGCAAUGAGAAAGAGAACUCAAAAACUUAUUUCUGUUCAAGAGAAUAUACUUUUGACUUUUAAAGUAAAUUUCUGAAGAAGCAGUACAAGGAUGCAUAUUUUCAUAAGAUAGGUCCAGAAGGAAUUCUUGCAGUAAUUUAAAUGUGCAUAUCAAAAAUAAUUAAUUGGAUAAUAUUCUGAUGUAUGUUGUGAUUUAAUCUGAAAGGUAAAUGUUCAAUUUUAAAACUAUCAAAUUUGUCUCAUUCUAAUUCAGAACAUUCUUUAUUUAUAGAAAAAUUAAAAAUACUUAUAAACUAAAUAUUUUUCUUUUUAAAUUUAAGUAUAUAUUUUCUUCAGCAAAAUAAUUAUUUCCCUGUUGAUGUCACUGCAUAGUGUAUAAUUACAUACUGAGAUUCUGAAAGCAUCAACAGUUAUGUAUACAAACAUAAAAGUGAAAUUUAUUGAGGGAAGCAUAUUUGUUCAGCAGGGCACAUCAGACAGUGUCUGUUUCUUUGAAGGUUGUAAUUUGUAAGCUUCAAUUGUGGUGCUUUCUGUCUUACAUUAACCUGCUAUAAAUGUUAACUGUAUAAAGAAUUUCAAAUCUUCUC